rnacentral:rRNA from 1 species
AUGACGAUAUUUGUACUGCAGCCGUCCACGCGGCGGCAGUACAUCUAUUUUAACAGCAGCCGUCCACGCAGGCAACGCAGCUCACAUGCGGCUCACGGCGUGCUGCGCCGUGCCGGUGGCCCUCAGCUCGCCGCGGCGGCGCGUGGCGAACCCGAGCCGCUCGGCGGUGGCCGGCUUGAACACGGCCUCUGGGUCGGCGUCCACGGCGUCGGCGAGCCGAGGCCACAUCCUGGCGGUGACCAGCCACGACCCGUCUCCCGCGGGGCUCCGGAUCACUGUCAUGGCUGCCGACCCGAGCCGGCCCGGACGCACCCACGGCAUCACCAGCCGCGGCGGGCCGAAUCCAAAGUCGCCCUCCACGCGGAACGGCACGAACGCCGACACCACCAGCGCCGGGCUGCCUGUGCCCAGCCCCACCGUCUCCGUCCACUUGCCGCCCUCCGCGAACACCCCCUUGUGCGCCUCCAUCCAAUCCACCAGCUCCUCGUGCCGCUCCUGCCGGAACACCUCCGCGAUUGCCGCCGCGGCCAUCGUCGCCACGUCGGCGAGCGGGGCGGAGCGCACCGUCUCCACGGCCGCCUCCCGCGACGCGUAGGUGACGACGUUGCCGAGGUAGUUGUUGACGUGGGUCUUGUUGUACUUGGCGGGGUCGAGGCGCCGGCGGCCGUCGACGAGCCACGCCAUGCGGCAGUGCGUGUCGGAGCCGCCCACGGCCGCGGCGAGGAGCUUCCAGACGUGCGCGGAGAGGGCCUCGAGCCGCGUGGCGCGGCGGGAGGGGCCGCUGGCCGCCGCGCGGAGGCGGUCGACGUCGGCGGCGUCCACGACGUAGUUGCGGCGCACGAGGGCGGCGGCAAGGAGGGCGUUGGGGAGGCUGGCCGGGUCGUAGCGCACGAACUCGGCGUCCAGCGACGGGGUGUAUCGCGGUGGCGAACGGGGCCGGAAGAGGGAGGAGCGGUCGUGGUGGGGCUCCCACGAGAGGCCGCCCCCGACGAGCAUCUCCGCCCAGGCGUUGGGAAGCGUGGUGAGGCCGUGGCCGUCGACGAGCAGGUGGUCGGUGCCCCAGGUGAGCGAGAACCCGCCGCACGCGAACCGUACGAGCUGCAGCGACAGCGCGAGGCCGCGCUGGAACGGCACCUGGAUGCGCCCCAGCGAGGCGUCGGCGUCGGCGAAGUCCACGUCCGCGAGCGCCGCGUCGGCGUACGCGACGACGAGCUCGGCCCCUUCGUUGCCGCACACGACCUCCGGCACGCCGGUGGAGGCGCUGGGCACGACGCGGCCGGCGAAGGGGUAGAAGCGGGAGAGGAAGGCCGGGAGCGCGGCGCGCGCGGCCGCGGCCACGGCCGGGAAGCGCGCGGCGGGCGCCGGGUAGAUGGCGAUGAAGAAGACGUGGAAGGAGCCGAGGAUGAGGUCCAGGUUGGAGACCGGGAGCACCGCCGGGAAUCCCCGCGGCGGGUCGGAGGCCUGGACGAGCGUCCGGGAGACGACCUCGACGGCGACGGCGCAGCGCUCGGCCGGCGGCAUCACGGCUGCGCACGGACGGACGCGGCGCAGGGAUGGACACGUAGGUAG